GACGAACGCUGGCGGCGUGCUUAACACAUGCAAGUCGAACGGAAAGGCCCUGCUUUUGUGGGGUGCUCGAGUGGCGAACGGGUGAGUAACACGUGAGUAACCUGCCCUUGACUUUGGGAUAACUUCAGGAAACUGGGGCUAAUACCGGAUAGGAGCUCCUGCUGCAUGGUGGGGGUUGGAAAGUUUCGGCGGUUGGGGAUGGACUCGCGGCUUAUCAGCUUGUUGGUGGGGUAGUGGCUUACCAAGGCUUUGACGGGUAGCCGGCCUGAGAGGGUGACCGGCGACAUUGGGACUGAGGUACGGCCCAGACUCCUACGGGAGGCAGCGGUGGGGAAUAUUGCACAGUGGGCGGAAGCCUGAUGCAGCAGCGCCGCGUGCGGGAUGACGGCCUUCGGGUUGUAAACCGCUUUCGCCUGUGACGAAGCGUGAGUGACGGUAAUGGGUAAAGAAGCACCGGCUAACUACGUG
rnacentral:rRNA from 1 species